UUUUGUCUAAUUUCAGGGACGACACGAAAGAAAUCUUUCGAUGAAUUUACGAAUUUUAACAUAUGUGCGAUGUAAAUCUAAAUCUAAAAGUACAUCCUUUUGGAAAAUAAAGGGAGAAUUUUCGUGGAGGAUUUUUUUCAACAUGGUGGAAAAUAAUCGAGACGCUUAAGUGCAGAGUGCACGCUUUCUUGGGGAAGAAUGAUGAAAGAGAAAUUCAACUUGUUCGCACGAGUAACUGUUAUCUAACUUUUAUUUGAGUUAUUAGCUUCGUCGAGGGAAACUUUGAACAUAUUCCCCCACGAUAAACGUGGAACAAGAUCCAUUCAAAAUACGUUCAACGAUUGUUACUCGUGUUCAAUGAUGUUCCUCCGACACGACAAUCAUCCACGAAUAUAUCCACGAAUUAUAGGAAUUCGACCUAUUUGAAGGAAUAUCAACGCUCUAAUUGGGAAAUCCUUUUUCCUAAUUGGGAAAUCCAACUGUCGCGAGGAUCCAUCACCUGGUCGAGCAGGAAGGAGCAAUCCUCGUGUGACAAUCCCCGUUUCCGGCCAGUCAUCCGGAAGUUUUAGAGGAGGGGAGGAAGGGGUUGUUUGUCCAAACCGCCGGAAUUCGAGCUGUAAAUAUAGUUUGGGAGGGAGUGACGAGGGCGCGAACGAGGGAGAAAUUCGAUUUUGCCUCGCGGAAUCUGCGGUCGGCAGAGGUGUUCCGCAGGAACGUAACGACGACAAAGCGUGGAAACCACGCGUGCCAUCUCGGCAAUCCGGCUGUCCUAACUAGGAGGCCGAUAAAUGGACGGCUUGAUGACUUGAUAAUUUAUGGGGAGGAGACGGUGAGAGGAGGUUGGUUUAAUUAAUCUUUCUGAAGGGGUUGUAAGUAAUUGAACGAGUUAAGUUUUAAGAUAUUUUUGGAAAUAUUUUUUUAUUGGAAAUUACGUUGUAGCCUCGUAUUAUAGUUUCGUAUGAGAAAUUCCUGUUGUUAAUCGAUCGAUAUUUGGAUUAUCGAUUUAUUAUUAAAAGAAAGAUUUAAUAUUCGAGAGUGAGAUAUUACAGUAAAAUUUCAUGGAAAGGAUUUGGAAGAGUUGUAUCGAACGAGUUAAGUUUUAAGAUAUUUUUGGAAAUAUUUUUUUAUUGGAAAUUACGUUGUAGUCUCGUUUCUUGUAUGGGAUCUGGUUGUUAAUCGAACAAUAGUUGGAUUAUCGAUUAAUUAUUAAAAGAAAGAUUUAAUAUUCGUUUGAUAUUCGAGAGUGAGAUAUUACAGUAAAAUUUCAUGGAAAGGAUUUGGAAGAGUUGUAUAAUAAUUUUUCUAAACUAAUUCGUAAGGAAAUCAGUCAGGAUCCAAGGAUCUUUAAACUUGUUAAGCCGCAGUCGUACGUAUUCUACCGAAAAUAUUCCAUUAGAAAGAAACUUUCACGGGCACUUUAAUUUUGAAGGAAACUCGAGAGAAACAUGUGCUAGUCGUGCGCCUGAGGAUAUAUAAAUGAAGAGAAACAAUUUUUCAGAAGAAUUAUUAGAAUAGAGGUGGAAAGAUUGUUUAAAAGUUUAAUAGAAACAUAUAUUUUUUUUCAGUGUGAUUGAAGAACGAAGAAAUAUAAUAAAAAUUUCAAAACAGAAAAUGACAAUUAGAUUGUACGAAUGAAGAGUGGAAAAUAAUUUCGUAGCUUUAUGAAAACUUUACUAAAAGAAGAAAAAAAAAAGAGGAGGAGGAAAUAUGCAUGCGGUAUAAAAUAUUCAAAUAAAGAAAACAGUGGAAGAGUGAAGGAUACUCUUAUUUUUAAUUGUAAUUGUAUAAAAAAAAAAUGAAGAAAGUUUUUUUUCAGAACAAGAUGGAAUUAAAAAUUCCCUUAUAACUCUAUCCAAACAAAAGAAAGGUACAUCAAGUAUCGAAUACCCAAAAUGAAGAAACCUUCGCAAUGGAAUUCUAAAGAUAUAUCCACAAUUUGCGAAAAAGUAUCAAGAAUCAAUAAAUAAAUCGAGAAAUAGAUCCAAAAGAAAAAAAUUGAACCUGUCUUCAAAACUUCAAAAUUCCAAUAGAUUAUAAAAAUUCAAUUUUCAACCCCCCAUCUAAAAGCAAAACUAACUUCAACCUCAAAAAGAGGAAAAGAAAAAGAAACAAAAUUAAAUGGAGAAAGAAAAAUUCCUCUAAAAAAAGAAGAAGAAGAAGAAGAAGAAGAAGAAUCUCAAAAGAGGCAUGAAAAUUCGAUUUCUAAACAACGGAACGCAAUCAAGGCGUUCCAGUUUAUCCAUUAUUGCCAACAGAGAAAUACACUCGUCCCCUAUGUCGAGUUAUCUCUUAACAAAUUCUUUGCCCCCGCCUCGAGAUAUCCUUUUUUUAUUUUGCCUUUUCAUCCAUCGUUCACGCAUUGUUUCCACCAUCAUCGCCAGAUACCCGAUCGCGUAAUCAGCGCGUCGAACCCCGUACAAUAAGACAAUGCAAUCCUCCUCUCUCUCUCUCUCUCUCUCCUCUUCCUCUUUAUCCUCUUUCCAUGCUUUUUCUUUUCUUUUUCUCUUCCUCUAUUUUUUUAUCGAGAGGAGAAAAAAAGGCUCACGUUCCACGAAUUAAGUUACGUUUCGAUUUAAUCAUCGGGAUUGAAGUUUCCUUCGAAGAAAGAUCGAUUCGAAUCUUUCGUAUUUUUCGCGCCAAAUUGGACAUGGAUAUAUUAUUGUGAACAAUUUCUUUUAUCUUUUUUUUUUUUUAUUUGGAUCGUCAUGGAGAAUCGUCCAAGAAAACGGAGGACUUUUAUCGAGUUUCGAGGGCCUUCGAUUGAACGAACCGACGAUGGCCUAUUUUUAUUUCCGCAAUUUCGGCGCUUUGGGGUGAGAGGUGUGUCAUGUUGGUCAAGUGUGACUUAUUUCUUUCUCUGUGUAUGUGUAUACAUAUAUAUUUUUUUUCAAGAGAAGGAAAGAGAGAGAGAAAUUGAGCGAAUUUUCGAUGAUCGAGACUCGGAGGAAUUUGUGUUGCAACAUGGACAAACAUUCGGCAAACUGAAGUUGUAAGGAAAGUUUACAGAAAAGGAUUUUCAAUUUCAUUUAGGAGGAUAAAUAUUUCUCUACUUAACAGAGAAUUUCAUGUAAGAUUUUCGAAGGAGGAACGCUUGAUAUUUGCACGAGAUAUAAACGAGAUGAAAAGACUCUUAACUUUAUUCUUAUAAUCAAACCAAGCUGAAUUUGUCUCGAUCCACGAUGUGAAUAACAAAUCAAGCUUUAUAAACAUUAAAACAAGAAGUGGAAAAAGAAAAAAAGUUAAUGGAUCUGUUAAAUUUAUCUCGAUCCAUCCACGUGAUCGCGAGUUCCAUCAAUUUAUCGAGCCUAACCCCGCUUGUCAUCGCCAUUACCAAUUCCCCUCCCUCCCCCCUUUUCCUCAAUCACUUCCUCCAACGAACCCAUUAACCACGCCUCCCAACCCAAAUUCCCAUUAUUCAAUUCAACGCGAGUGAAAUUACUUUCCAUCCAUUGUUUCACCUCCCAAAAUAUUCACUUCGUUUCCCUCCCUUCCCUCCUCUUCACGAAACUAUCGAAUUUCGCGGGAAAUUCGAACGAGAAGCUCGCCGCUCAAACAUGGAAACGCUUUUUCGAAUACAUCGACGAGAUUAUAAACUCGAGCACCUUCGAAUGACCACAGACACAUUUUGAAUGAACAGCCAUUAAGGGGAAAUUGAACCUCUUCUCGGUAAACAGGAGUGUAAUAAUUAUUUUUAAAGGAAACUAGAUGAAUGCCGUGCCGAGUUUUCUGGUCGAAGAAUUAAUCCUCCAUUAGGAGGGAGGGAUUUGUGGAUUUCUGUGGCGUAAUUUCUUCGUUGCAGCAAGGAGUAAAGCGCAAGUGGAAAUUUUCGUUCUUGGAAUUGAAGGGAUUUUAAUAAUAAAAAUUGGUAAUGGGAUAAAAAAAAUUCAGAGAGAUAUGUAAAUAAAGUGUUGUUGGUCAAGUAAGACGAGUAACAUGAUAAAUAGUCGUAUUGAGAGUAGAAAUGGAGGAGGAUGGAUAAGUAGAAGAAGGGGAGAAUUGGCAAAUAGAAUAAAAUAAUCAUGAGUCAAGUGGAGGCAAUUUGUCAAACAAGCUAAAGAAAAGAUGGUUGAAAAGAUAGAAAAAAAAGAAUAAAUAAACGGCACUGUUAAUUGCAAUGGAAUUGAUAUGUUGAAUUAGAUUAGAAGAGUUUCGAAAAACUUUUGUCGUAUAGAUAUUUGUUAUAAUAUAGAAAAUCUUUUAAUUAAUCGAAUGGUGAAGUUUUUUGGAAUGAAAGAGGUUCUAAAAAGUGUGUAGCUUCGACGAUUAUUCAAUUAUGUUUCUUCACACUGCUACGAUUUAUGGGAAGAAUAUAGGCAAGAAGAUUGUGAAAUCGAGCAAUCGAGAUGUUCAAGGAUGGUUGACGACCUUGACGUUGCAUUAUUUCAAAGAAUAGAAAUUUAUUCUUAGAGAACUGACGUAGAAUCGACGAUAUUUACUCCACAACCUUUGGAUUCGUGAACAAAAUAUUUUUUAACACAAUCUUCUCCUCGAAUUCAAUUUCGAUUAUAAAUUUCCUAAACGAUCGUGAAUAUUAUAUAAAGUCCAUCCAUUUACAAAAAAAAGAGUAAGAAAAAUUCACAGAACGAAAGAAUGAUAAUUCAUUUCUGUUAAACCACAAGCAACCCUUCAAAAAAUCUACAAAAAUACAAAAUUCACGUGACAAGAAAAUAAUAAAAAUUUUCCCGAUGAUUCGACCACGAGUAAUCUUCAAAAAACUACCAUAAAAUUACAAUCUCCACUCAUCGCAAUAAUCAAAAUAUUCGAUCGAAAAACCAGAGAAGAAGAACAUAAAAAUGGAAACACUCGCUCUGACAAAUCAGACAAAAUCCACUUGCCAAUUUCAAGGCUCAAUCACAAUAAUUUUUCCACAUACUUAGCAACAGUUAAACGUCUUUAGACGUCUUAGACUAAGGUGGACGGAAAAUCCACGCGAGACGAUCUCGUAAUUAAGGGGUUGAACGGUAUUAAAAUCGGCGAAAAGGGGUUGUACAUAGAGCGAGAGCCUUUAGAAAUUUCUCUCGAUCCUCUCGGAUCCUUCUCUCCUCGACAAGUUUGGCCGCUCGUUACUCGAGCCGAGCCAUUAACCUUUGAAAAGAAAUCCUCCUCGGUCUUUUCUUCCCUCCCCCGUACUUCCGGAUAAUCCUCUCCUUUCGAGGGGUCUCCCCCGAAAAUUUGAAAGUCGACGACCCGUUUUAGAUUUUCUUCUCCAUUUUUUUUUUUUCUUUCGCUCCAUUUCGAUCUUGAUUCUGUUUGGUCGGACGAGAUGGAGUGGAACUAUUUUGCAGAAACGGUUCUCGAAUAAUUGUGGUUGAAGGGUAAGAAGAUUUGGCGGAGAGAUUCUGGUACGGUGGGCUGUGUUUUACGAGACGGUUUAACGAGUGGGGAGAAACCGUUUAACUCGUCGCGUUUGGCGGUGUGUAUCGUUUAAUUGUAAAUUGUGGGCAACUCUAUUGGGAGAUAAAUGAAGUUCAAAUGGAACGCUGAUGGCGCUAAUGAACGUGUACUAGGUUUCUGGGAUUUCGAAUUCUGUUGUUGAUUAUAACACUUCUUUUUUAUCAAAAAAUAUUGUUGGAUAUACUUACGACGUUCACAAUUCGUUCACGAUAAUACGUAUAUCGUUAAUCAGAAUAUUAUAACUUUUUAAACACAAAAGAAUUCAACCAAGAAGAUGAAAAAUCAAAAAGAUAAAAAUUAAACACAAUCCACCCUUACCUCCCCCCCAAAAAAAAGAAUCUCAAAUAAUCACCUUCACCUAAUUAUUCCAUCCCUGUCUCACCCCGCAGCAUCAUUAAGAAUGCAAACCCGGCACGGAAUCUCGGGAACAUCAGCAGCGUGAAAUCGCAGCCUCCCCCUCCUCCCCCUCUUAAUGGGACGAUGCGACGUCCCGGAAGCGCGAAAAGGCGCGGGAGACAAAGACUCCCCUCUCGAAAGGAGGGCGAAAGAAAGAGGAGGAAGAAAAGCAACCCCUCCUCCUCCUCCUCCUUUUCCUCCUCCUUCCCUCUCUCCCUUCGUUUUUUCAUUCGCCAACUUCUCGAGGUGGCGAGAAAGAAACGAGCAAAGUAUCCUCCGCUUAACGCAGAGUCAACUCGCCGCGGUUUCUUAACGAGAAAGGAGGGGUCGAAUGGAGGAGGAGAGAUAGAAAGAGAGAGAGAGAGAAAAGGCGCGGAGGAUGGAGAGAGAGAGAGAGAGAGAGAGACGGGGAGGAAGUUGGCCGAGAGACAGACGGCCUAUUCAUCGAGCAGCUGCACCCCGGCCCGCGUUUCGCGAUAUUAAAGGGCGCCACGGGUCGACCUGUAUCGGCGCCCGUCGCGACGUCGGCGUCGUGGAUAUACGCGCCGUAAACCUGGCAUGUACACGGUGUCCGCGAAAUAAAUCCCCCGCAAUUCUUUCGUUUAAACGGAAAUUCAUCGCGAUAUCCGCCGAGUCGGAUGGAAGGAAUGGGAGGGUUGAAACCCCCUCGAGUAAACUUGGAUUAAUGUCAAUAAUAUUUUAUGUUUAUUCCGUGAUUGUUUCUAAUUCUAACGCGUUCUGAUUUUAUAAUUGAUUCUUUUUUUUUUAGAGUGGUUGUGUAAAGGAUUUUACGUUAUUUUAUCGAUUGGAUGGUUAAUUUAUUAUGUACCGUUCGUAUUGUGAUUUUUUAUUUAUAUGGAAAUGGAUUCGAAUCUUUUAUAUUGAAGAGGAUAUUUUUUUGAGUAUGUUUAAAUCUUGAUGGAAUAGAAAUUUUCGUGAAUUCUUCUUAAUUAUUCUUUUUGUUAUUCUAUAUCUAUCUUAUAUUCCCUGGAGCAUUCUUCAUAAUCAGUAAAAAAAAAAGACAGGAAAACAAGACAUCAGAGGGUUAAGACUGUAGAUUUGCUCGCAUGGCGACCAUUAUAAGAGGAGAAAUUAAAAUUAGUAAAAAAAAGAGGAAAACGAGACAUCGAAACGUUAAGACUGUAGAUUUGCUCGCAUGGCAUCGACCAUUACAAGAGGAGAAAUUCUUAAGAGGAAUAUAAAAUGAAAAUAUAGAGACAUUCGUAAAAAGAAACAAAUGUGAUUGAUAGAGCAUCGAGGGGGUGAAAUUGAAGAAGAAAAGGAAUGUAAAGGAAAUAUAUAUCAUGAUGAAUCAAAGGAUUCAAAGGUUUCGUCAAUUUUAUCAUUGAUCGUAUUUAUAGUUAAUUUAUCAGACGAUCGAUAGUGAUGGGUUUAAACUGCGCAAAAUUACUGUGGAAUUUUCUCGAAUACAUUCGAAUAACGAGAUACGGAAAUUUGCAAUUUAAUUGCAAAUUUAAUGUAUUUACAGUUAAUUUAUAAUGACAGGAAGUUUGGUAUUUGACUAUUUGCAUAAAUUCCACGAAUCCAAUCCCGCUGGCGUGGAAACGUUCGUUGUGGAAAUGAUCGUUUACGAUCGAGAUUUACAAUCGUUCGAAAACUUUUUCCUUAAUUUGCAACACCAGUAAACCUUUGUACAAGAAAUAUCAUUGAUGCUGUAUAAUCGUUGCGAAAUUAAUAUUCGAUUCAUCGGAAAAUUGUUCUCGAAAGGAUUUCGAGUUUCUGUAAUUUUGGUGAUUGAACGUUUGAUGCAUGGAAUGGUUAUUGGAGGUGAUGAGUUUUUUGACAUGGGAUAAAUUCAUUGCAAGUUUCGUUUUAUAAAUUGUACGCUACAAGUAUAUUGGCGUUGAAGAGAAAUAUUGAAAAUUCGGUAUCGACAUUGUUUGAUCGUUGUAAAAUUUAUACAUUAUUUUAUGCUUCUGGAAAACAAUAUUCAAAAUUAAAAAAAAAAAAAAGAAUAUAUAUAUAUAUUUGUAAUUUUAACGAUUGAAAAAUGGUUGAUUAGUUUCGAGCAGAUAUAUAUUUUUAUAGAAUUUCUAUGAAUAUGUUGUAUACGUAUUGCUAAUAAUAAGGUAUUGUAAAGGAAGUAUUGGAAGGAUCUGUUGGCAAAGCAGUUAUAUGAAACAGCCAUACCAAUUGAAUAUACAUGCAUAUAUGUAAAAAUGGUGUUAAAGCUAUCAUCUGACUAUUUUUUCCUUUUUUCAUGGACACCUUUGAAAAUAAAGAAAGGAAGAAAAUGUGUUUUCACAAUGGAAAAGUAUCGACCAAAUUUCCCUGACGAAAAAUAUUCCAAGCUUUUAAUUAUUUAACGUAACGAGAUGGAAGUGAAUUAAAAACUCUUUAAAAACAAAAAUACUGUGGAGAGUGAAAAAAGUAAAAAUAAUUAAAUAAAUAGAAAAAGUUAAUGGAAGAGGAACUUUUUAAUAUUAAAUUAGAAAUGUGAACGAGCUAAUUGUUUAGAAUUAGCGAAUAAAUAAUUUUUCAUUCGCAAAAUUCUGCGUCAAACUUAACAAAUUCUUGACAGAUAUUCCGCCAAGAAAUUGCAUGAAAAUAUAAUUUCGCCGGUUUCGCGGCACUGAGUCUGACUACAAACGAUUCAUUUCCCUUUACAGUGGUUAGAGUCGGUUACUUGCACGUAUUCUGCACUCUGUCUCCUCUAAAAUACCUACGUACGUUAUUCCGAGAAUCGUCAUUGAAUCAGAGAGUUUAUAAAAUUUCAUAUAAACAUCGUGCGCGAGUUUCAACGUUGCGCGAACAUUUGCUGGCAUAAAAACGAUUUUCUUUUUUUUUUCGCAUCGCGAAAACAAAAACUUUUUUCAGUGGGGAAAAUUUUGAAAGUAGAAAGAACAAUCGAUUGGGGAAUGAAAUGAAACGAAAGAAAGGAUAAAUUGAAACAGUUGAAUUUUUUUUUUAAAUUUAACCAUCAGAAUUACAACUAAUUUAAACAAAAGUUAAGAAAAGAAUUAAAUAAACAAUUUUGAAGAAAUUUAGAAAUAUUCUGUUCUGAGGAAUAAAAUAAAUGAUUUUAGAAAAAUCAGAUCAAAUAUUUUAAUGAGAAGUAAUAAUAAAAGACGAGCUUUCUUACUUUUGCUCGAGUAAAUAUUCCUACAUCGAGUAUGAAAUUUGCUUUUUCGAUAGAAAAUCGUAUUUUGGAAUAAAAACCAGGCCGAAAAUCAACAAUAGAACAUCGUCGAAAAUGGAAUGAAAAAUUCCAUUCGAUAUUUGCUCGAGAACGAAACUCGAGUCAAUGGAACAAAUAAUGGUCAAGGGAAAAAAAGUUAUAAUCGAUUAGCGAGAAGUCGAAGAUGAAGGACGAGCGACAAAGUUAAUUAAUGUGAGAGCUUUGAUCUUUAAGGGAAAAAAAAAUGGUUUAAUUUAAAUUCGAAUCCUUUAACGUGUAUCUUUUUCUCGUUAAAAUUCAUCAAAUCGAAAUCUCUAUAACAAAUGGCAACAAAUUUCUGAAUAUCAGAUUGGAAAUACUUGAAAUAAUAAUUGAUGUGUUUUAAUAAUUGUAUAAAUUUAUUUUGAUAUUUAAAAAAUUUGUUGGAAGAAAGUUAUAAGAUGAUUAAAUAAAUCAUUUGUUAGUUAGGCAUUUGUCCUCGAACAUUAAAAAGUUUCGACAUUACCAGCUUCUAAACUUGAAUCGUGGAUGGGAGAAGUUAAAGAGGAUUGAUAAAAUUUACGACACGUUUGUCAGGGAACUUAGCUUUUUGACGUAAGACAGAAAUAUCCAAGUUAAGCCUCGAGGCUUAAGAAGCUUCCUCCACUCCAUCAGGAUUAUGCAGGGGAGAGCGUCAAAAUGAUGAUAUAAAAGUUGAUCGAAUUUGUGAAUUGAAACACAUCCUCUCUUCUAAAUUUUCUUUGACACAAUAAUCUUAAUAUUAUAAUAGUAUCGGCGAAUUUAACCUCGAAUAAACCUUCCAUCUUUAUUUUUCUCUCUUUUCAAAAAAGAAUAACACUUUCGGAUUAAAGUUUUUUUUUUCGAACAAACUCAUAAUUUUAACAUCUCUCUUGUUGAACAUAACCUCAAAUGAACUUUAAAACUUCUGAUCCCUCUUUAUUUUUUUUCCUCCCCCCUCCAUUUAUUCUCAUGUCGAAAUUCUCUUAGCAAACCAAGCUCGAAACCACGAUUCAAAACGUCUCAACACCCUCGAAAUAUAACCUCGAAUAAAUCUUCCUGAGAUUAAACUUCUCAACGCAAGCCCGGUAUACAUCAUCAUUUUUCUCCCGUUAGUUUACAACAUCUCGUCCACGAGAAUGCAUGAAUAUUCAAAAGACGAGCACGUGGACACGUAUCUAUAAUAUAAUACAAAUAACUGGACGUCCCCUAAUGUUACACCGUAUUACGUAUCUACGUAUGCAUAAUAUGGUGCAGCCAUGAAACGGCGGCGCCAUUGUCUCUGCCGGGAUAAUGGGGCGGCCAUUGAGCGCGGGAUAAAUAAAUAAAUCCCUUGGCAAACGCACAUUUCACGAAUUCAUUAACUCGCAACGGUGAUGGUCGUUCGACCGUGCGAGAACAAAAGCGUGAAAAGGCGUGCAAACGCGAUAAGUCGCGUGUUCUCGACUAUCGUGAUCAAUGGCCCUUCCUCCCAUCCAAUUGGCGAAUGUCGUUGAUUCUUCCAUGAGAAUCGUUCCAUCCGAGAAUGGAAUAAAAUUCCAGAGAUAUCUCCUGUGCAUAUGCACUGAUAACGUUUAUUAUUCCGCGUUUGUUAAUCGAAAGAUUUCUCCUUUUCAAAUUGGAAAUUGAAGAAGUGUAUAUUAUUUAUUCUAAAUCUUUAUUUCAAUUAUUAUUUGUCGAUAAGAAUUCUUGAUUUAUUAUCGAUUCUGAUUCAAUUUUAUCUAUUUUGUUCUAAAGUUGAAUUAAGAAAAUUUGAGAUGAUAUCUCGCUCGUCGUUUAACGCCAGAAUUUGUGUGGUUUCUCAAUUAGAACUGGAGGAAUGUUGCACGCGAAUCUUGCAGAUGAAUAUUGUAGUCGAUGUAUUGUUUCUGAAACCAUUCUGGUUGCGUCAUUAAAAUUACGUGAAAUUUAUUACAACGCAAAAUCAAGAUUCUUCCAUCGAAAAGACGAAACUCUCGAAGAAGAAUUAAUUCAGUUAUGAAAUUUUAAAAAUUUCAAGAAAAACAAUUAUCGAUAUUUCCUCCGAAUAUUUAGCAUUUGAAUAAACAUCGAUGAUUUUAUUUUCAUCACGAAAACGAAAUUGCACGGAUACAAUAAUUUUAAUUUCGUUCCGUGUGAUCGAACCGCGUUUAUUCCUAUUGUUUUAUCGCGUUCAUGAAUUAUCGAUGGCCCAAUGAAAUUCGAUCUUUGUAUCCCGAUAUUUAUUUAUCAUUAUUAUCAGUUAUUUAUGAUUAUCGUUGCGCGUUUGUUAUUUCGAAGCCGUCUAUUAAUAAUUAAUUUGCGUACAGAAUAUUAGCAUACAUAAUUGAAUGGGAGCGUGAACGAAAUGGAAGUGGAAAAAAAAAAAAAUAGUACGAAGAAGAAAAUUUCUUUCUGGAAUAUCGUAAUUCCCCGUUUGGCAGAGUAACGAUGAUAUUAUUGCGACCGAUUCUUCUAUUUUCUAGGCGAGGAUAUAAUGCUUCCUGGCCGAAGUUCGGGAGAAUAUCACCGAGAUGAAGCUUGUUUAAGGAGAUAAUACUUUUAUAGAGUGAAUUCUUUUCCUCUUCGCGAGGAUGUACGAGAUAAUUCCCGAAAGAGGGUCGAUAUUGUAAUACUUUGUGUAACAUUAUUUUUGCAAAAGAGAUUUUAUUGCUCGUUUCGAAAGGAAUACAUUUAUUUUUUUUUAACUAUUUUGAUUAUUUUUGUAUAAUUAUAUAUAUAAAUUUUCUUUGGAAAGAAUUUAAUAAAAAAGAGAUUGGAUGAGUGAAGAUAAUGGAAUGAAGAUAAUUCGAUAAUUAAUUUUUUCUUGAAGUGUAUCAUCGAUAAUGGGUAAUUUUAUCGAUAUGCAAAAUGCAAGAACUUUCAUUUUGAGGAAUAACGAUAAUGGGGUGGUUAUUCAAUUUGACUGCAUUAUCUACUUCUACUAUCUUUUAACAGUUUUCCAUCAAGAAUUUUCAAAGAUUAUUAUAUUUCCCAUACUUUCAAUUAUUAUUUCCAUGUUUUAUUAUUAUUUUUUUCUUCCCUUAUUUUACGGCAUCAUCCUUAUUUCACAAUUUAACAUUUAACAGGAUUAAAUCUAAUUUAUUCAACGCAUCGAAAAUUCACUCUAAAGAGUAAGCUCGAAAAAAGUUAUCAAAAUAAAGUCCCUAGCCGUUCAAUACUCCCAUCCACGAACGUUCUCCCACGAACUCGAAUCGCGAAUAACACGACUAAAACCGAAUUCCACUGAACUCCAUAAAUCCUUCGUCGAUCUUAAACAACGAUCGAUCGCGAACCUUUCCCAAUCGCUAUUGAUACAAAUG